ACAAAUGCAGCUUUGCAGCUGCCAUCACCCUAGUUGAGUUCUUCUUAUUUUAAUUCUAAGCGCAAGCAAAAUUAGUAGAGGCGCGUUUAAACUGGUCUGGACACUGACGAUACUAAUACUGAAAAGAAGUUCUUCAUUUUCUUAAUUCGAACAAACAGCUUAACCUUAGCCUCAGAAUGCUUAUAAUGCUUGAAUUUUACACCUGCAGAAGGGGUAGAGGGUUAUGAGGGGUAAAAAAGUCUGCAGCAACUGGACACACGAUAUAGCAAAAUGCAUGGAAGAGCAGAAAAC
rnacentral:lncRNA from 1 species